UGGAGGAAAGCAGGGGAUCGCAAGACCUUGCGCUUUUGGAGUGGCCGAUGCCUGAUUAGCUAGUUGGUGGGGUAAUGGCCUACCAAGGCGACGAUCAGUAGUUGGUUUGAGAGGACGACCAGCCACACCGGGACUGAGACACGGCCCAGACUCCUACGGGAGGCAGCAGUGGGGAAUUUUGGACAAUGGGCGAAAGCCUGAUCCAGCAAUGCCGCGUGAGUGAAGAAGGCCUUCGGGUUGUAAAGCUCUUUCAGUCGAGAAGAAAAGGUUGUGACUAAUAAUCACAACUCAUGACGGUAUCGACAGAAGAAGCACCGGCUAACUACGUGCCAGCAGCCGCGGUAAUACGUAGGGUGCGAGCGUUAAUCGGAAUUACUGGGCGUAAAGGGUGCGCAGGCGGCUUUGUAAGUCAGAUGUGA
rnacentral:rRNA from 1 species